rnacentral:rRNA from 1 species
CUUGAACGCUGGCGGCAGGCCUAACACAUGCAAGUCGAACGAGUGGCGGACGGGUGAGUAAUGUCUGGGAAACUGCCCGAUGGCGGGGGAUAACUACUGGCAACGGUAGCUAAUACCGCAUACCAUCGGAUGUGCCCACAGGGGAUUAGAUAGUAGGGGGGGUAAAGGUUCACCUAGGCGACGCUCCCUAGCUGGUUUGAGAGGAUUACCAGCCACACUGGAACUGAUACACGGUCCAUACGCCUACGUGAGGAAGCAGUGGGGAAUAUUGCACAAUGGGCGCAAGCCUGAUGCAGCCAUGCCGCGUGUAUGAAGAAGGCCUUCGGGUUGUAAAGUACUUUCAGCGAGGAGGCGUUACUCGCAGAAGAAGCACCGGCUAACUCCGUGCCAGCCGCCGCGGUAAUAC